GACUGGGACUUAUGUGAAGUAAUAAGGAAGAACAGUUUCUGGACAAAUAAAUAUUUGGCGUUUUGCAAGCUUCUGUAAAGAAACGAGGAGGUGAGAUUAGCUGUAAAUGAAGAUAAGAGCUGCUGCUUUGAAAUGGGCAACGGAGCAAGCACAUUCCUUUGCAGUACACAGGAAUCAGUCACUUCUGUGGUCUCUGGUCAUCCUACAGGGUGACAAAAUUUAUCACGCACACUCUGACGGGAGCCUAUGGCUGAUAAAGUGGUCUUGUUACUGAACUGAUGAGAGCUGGUCAUCUCUGCCUUGCACGUGUUCUGUCAGGGCAACAUGACAAGAUGACCAUGAAUACGGGCCUAGCAAAGGAAGCUCUUCAAUACAGAGAACAUGCCAGUUCACGAUGGAAUGUGCUUGGAAAAAUGUUCUUCACAAAACUAAUCUUGCUGCUUUUGUUAGCAUUCUUACAGCAGACCUAUCGGGGUUUUUAACCUGAUCUUGCAUGGUCUCACAGAAGAAGAGCAGUCAGCAUUCUUUCUUUAUAAAGUUCUGCUUUAUUAAAAGGUAAAGGAAAACAAUCCCUACUCUUACCCAUUAAAAAGCAGCAGAAGAAGCAGUUCUAACUGGCCUGUUUUAUUUAAUGGGAUUAGCUGAAGGAGC
rnacentral:lncRNA from 1 species